GGCUUUAUAGUCAAUAUUAAUGAUAUUAGACUGCAAUUCUAAAGUAGGGGUAACCUAAAGCUU
rnacentral:tRNA from 1 species